AUGCAUGUGUUCGUCCGUCAGUACACGAGGCUACAAUUCGACCGGGGAUCAGAUGAAAGCUACCAAGAAAACAGGACAAGGAUUAGUAGUGCUAUGAUGAGGACAAACGUUGCUAUCGAAAGGCACGCGAGUAAGGUUUACACGAGAAAGAUGUUCGAACAAUUUGGUGAGAAUCUGUUUGAAGGUGGAUCAUACCAAGUCGAGGAGAUUGAAAAGAAAAAGAAAAAUAUCGCAAGGCACAACGACGCCUUAAAACGAGAGAAGUGGAGUAAGGUCGAAUACGAGGUGACCAUAUCAGAUGAAGUUGACUGGUUUGAAUGUGAAUGUGGGCAGUUUGCCCACAUGGGAAUGCUUCGCUGCCAUGCUUUGAAGGUGGUGAACCACGUUGGUGUACCGGAGAUACCCAAGCGGCACAUCCUAAAAAGGUGGGCGAAAGAUGAUAGAGACAUCUUGCCACAACACAUAGCUCACUUUCAAAAGGAUCAGGCUGCGAAUCAAUGUUUUACCUGUCGGAGCUCAACCCUGUACCUGCACGCCAUGGAACUGGUGAGGAUUGGAGACUCAUCAAUCUCUGCCUACGAGCUCGUAUUUGGGAGGAUCAAGGACUUAAUCGUAGAGGUAUCUCCGCUGGCGGAAAAGACGGAUGGUCUAGGAAUUGAGGAUAGGAUAGCUGCUGAAUCAAGUCGAAAGAACAAUGGCUCAGUAGGGGCAAUCAUAAACAUUGAUGCACAGAUGGGUGACAAUGAGAACAGCAUGACUGCGUCUGGCAAUUGGGAUGCCCUCGCUGGUUUGUCUGCUCCAAGCAAGAAGCAUGGUGUUGGCCGGCCGUGCUCGAGCAGAGAGAAAGUGUCAUACGAAGGCUUGAGUAAGCGCACAAGGUUGUGCAGUAUAUGCAAGUUCCCAGGGCAUAAGAGGACAAUCUGCCUGUGCCAAAACAACCUCGCAAGACUGUUACGUGCAAGAACUGUUGUGUGA
rnacentral:rRNA from 1 species